UACGUAGGGGCCUAGCGUUGUCCGGAUUUACUGGGCGUAAAGAGCGCGCAGGCGGUCGUUCAAGUCGCGUGUGAAAGCCCCCGGCUCAACUGGGGAGGGUCACGCGAUACUGAUCGACUGGAAGGCAGGAGAGGGUAGUGGAAUUCCCGGUGUAGUGGUGAAAUGCGUAGAUAUCGGGAGGAACACCAGUGGCGAAGGCGACUACCUGGCCUGUUCUUGACGCUGAGGCGCGAAAGCUAGGGGAGCAAACGGG
rnacentral:rRNA from 1 species